AUUAUUAUUCAUAUAUAAUGAACAAAUACAGGUUAUUGACACUAGUGUACUAUUACGUGGGGGACCUUUAUUUAGAAAAAUUUCGAAAUUCUGUGACCAGAAAGUACUUUUUGAAAAUUAUUAUUAUUGUUGCUGACGAGACGCUGAUAAAGAUUUGUUACUUAUUAUUCUCAGACCGGGUAGCUACAAACAACGAGAUAGAAACCAUCGCGUGGUGAAAAUAAGGUUUUCCCCCAAGAUCACAGGUCCAUCUAAAAACGCCACUGAAAGAGCCAGGUUGAGAGAAUGGAAGGAAAGGAGAUUAAAAUGGAGGUGGAAGAAGAGGCAAUCAAGUCUGAAGAAGUGCAGGUGGAUGUGGCUGGCAGCGAAGAGAAGUCAGAUGAAGCUUUGUCUAAUGGUAGCCACACAACCCCUAAGAGAAGCAGGGGUAGGCCCCCCAAAAACCGACCCGUCUCUGAAUCAGAUCAAGCCUUAUCCAACGGUAGCUCCACAACCCCUAAGAGGGAACGGGGUAGGCCCAAAAGAUCAGUCACUAAGAAGGGAAGAGGUAGGCCCAGUGGAGCCUUGUCUAAUAGUAGCACCACAACACCUAAAAAAGGUCAGCCAAAAGGAUCAAUCUCCAAGUUAGCUGCUAGCCACAUCACACCUAAGAGGGGAAGGGCAAAAGGAUCAGUGUUGACAAAACCCAAGAUGCUGAAGGUUAUAGGCAAGCCGUCGCAAGUGGUUGACCCCUCCCAUAAGAAGUGUGGCCGGCCCAUUAAAGUUAAAUCAAAAAGGGGUAGGCCAAAGAAGAUCCUAACACCAGAGGAGGAAGAGGAGAGAAAGAAACUGGAAAGUCAACCAAGAGUGUUGAAGCCACUUGGAAGGCCACGCAUCUAUCCCCGCAAUGACCCACCAGUCAUUGAGCCUAGAGGAAGAGGCCGCCCAUGCAAGGCUAACAACAAAAGGGGUGCUCACUUGCGAAAACCCCCCAAUCCCAACCCCCCCCAUCUAUGAUGGUCCCCCACGGAAAAGGGGCCGUCCCCCCUAGUGCAGCAAACAAAGAUAAGAUCGAGGCAGAGCAAGAUGAGGCCAACAGUGAACCUCCAGUCAAACGAUCCUGCAACUCCAACGAAAAAAGCGAGGAAGGAUUUCCUCCAGUCGAAGAGGACAGUGAAACGGAAAAGGUGAACUGAGGAAAGUGAAACCAGAAAGGGGAAUGGAGGGAAGUGAAAGCGGAUGAAUAUACAGAAGACACCAAGAAGCCAGUGACCGCAGUAGCUUUCUCGGGGCCAUAAGCAGGAUGUCUGGCGACAGCCCGACCAGAGCAAGUACUCCCCACUUCAUAGCUACCCUGUUUUUUUGGGGGCGUUCCAGUAUAAUUGCUGAUAUGAGACCAUCUGAUAAUGCAGUUUUAUAUUGGUGAUCUCAGUUAUGAACAUAGAUAAUGCACUCUUUCACUUGUCUGAUUGCAUUCUUCACCUUUAUGGGGUUAAAAUGGUUAGCCUUAUUGUUGACCUGGACCAUGCAACUUCCAAUUCUUUCUCUGCAUUGUUGGGAAGGGCCCACAAGUAAGCAUUUUACUGUUAGUUAACACCUGUUGUUUACAAAGCGUGUGACAAAUACAUUUGAUUUGAACCCAACAUCUCAUCAUUAAAAUGUACAGUUUCACUACUUGAGGGUUUUCUUCGCAAAUAUAAUCCUUGUAGUUUGCUUAUCAACGUUACUCCUCAGAUCUUUUUAUGAUUUAGACUUAUGUUGUUUUUUGGUUGACUGUCAGUCCUGAUCACUAGGCCUACUUUGACAUAAUCAGGGGAGUAACGUUUCAAACAGGACAGCUUGUGAGAGAUUUUUAGAUUUUAGUCAAUGUUUUCAAUAAUUAUUUUCUUUUGUGACAUUUUAAUGUGUUCGUUGUCAUUAAAAAUCUGGUUUACAAAAAUGUUAUAGUUGUGGAUGGCUUGGUUUCACAGACCCUGGACAAAUGUUAUACACGUUUAUGUAGGCUACAUGUAUUGGGCUAUAUCAUGAAGUCUUGACCAUUGAAAUUCCAGUAUAAAUGCAUUCCUUUAUGUAUCCACCUGUCAAUUGAAACUCUGCCACUGACCAACUGCAUUAUACAGUGGCAAGAAAGUAUGUGAACCCUUUGGAAUUACCUGGAUUUCUGCAUAAAUUGGUCAUAAAAUGUGACCUGAUCAUCUAAGUCAUAACAAUAGACUGCUUAAAACUAAUAAAAAAAACACAAUUUCAUGUCUUUAUUUUCACACACCAUGUAAACAUUCACAGUGCAGGGUGGAAAAAGUAUGAACCCUUGGAUUUAAUAACUGGUUGACUCCUUUGGCAGCAAGAACCUCGACCAAACGUUUUCUGUAGUUGCGGCUCAGACCUGCACAACGGUCAGGAGGAAUUUGACUUCCUCUUUACAAAACUGUUUCAGUUCAGCAAUGUUCUUGGGUGUGAACCCCUCUUGAGAUCAUGGCACAGCAUCUCAAUCGGGUUGAGGUCAGGACGUAUUCUUUUCUGUUUAAACAAUUCUGUUGAUUUACUCGUUUUGGGUCGUUGUCCUGUUGCAUUACCCAACUUCUGUUGAGCUUCAAUUGGCGGAGAGAGAGCCUUACAUUCUCCGUCAAAAUGUCUUAAACUUGGGAAUACAUUUUUUCGUCAAUGAUAGCAAGCUCUCCAAGCCCUGAGGCAGGCCCAAACCAUGAUGCUCCCUCCACCAUACUUUACAGUUGGGAUAAGGUUUGAUGUUGGUGUGCUGUGCCUUUUUUUUCUCCAGUGUUAUGUUCCUUCCAAACAACUCAACUUUAGUUUAAUCUGUUCACUGAAUAUUUAGCCAGUAGCACUGUGGAACAUCCAAGUGCUCUUUUGCUAACUUCAGACAUGUUGCAAUUAUUUAUUUUUUUGGACAGCAGUGGCUUCUUCCAUGGUAUCCACCCAUGAACACCAUUUUAGUUUAGUCUUUCACGGAUUGUAGACUCGGCAGAGUUGUUAGCAUGUUCCAGAGAUUUUUGUAAGUAUUUAGCUGGCACUCUAGGAUUCUUCUUAACCUCAUUGAGCAUUCUGCACUGUGCUCAUGCAGUCAUCUUUGCAGGACUGCCACUCCUAGGGAGAGUAGCAACAGUGCUGAACUUUCUCCAUUUAUAGACAAUUUGUCUUACCGUGGACUGAUGAACAUCAAGGCUUUUCGAGAUCAUUUUGUAACCCAUUCCAGCUUCAUGCAAAUCAACAAUUCUUAAAUCUUUUGAGAUCUCUUUUGUUCAAGCCAUGGUUCACAUCAGUCAAUGCUUCUUGUGAAUAUCACAACUCCCAAUUGUGAGUGUAUUUUAUAUGGCAGGGCAGCUCUAACCGACAUCUCCAAUCUCGUCUCAUUGAUUGGACUCCAGUUUAGCUGACGCCUGACUCCAAUUAGCUUUUGAAGAAGUCUUUAGCCUAGGGGUUCACAUACUUUUUCCAACCUACACUGUGAAUGUUUAAAUAUUGUAUUUUUCUUGUCUAUAUUGAAUACAAUAUUUUGUGUGCUAGUUUAAGCACACAGUGUUCGUCUUGUGACUUAAAUGAAGAUCAGAUCAAAUUUUAUGACCAAUUUAUGCAGAAAUCCAGGUAAUUCCAAAGGGUUCACAUACUCUAGGCUAUACAGUGGCAAGAAAGUAUCUAUUGAGAUACUGUAUCUUUCCCAUAUUGUACAUCAAUUCACUGUACAUUUUACAUUUGUUUAUUCAUCCUUUACUAUGUUUUUGCUUAUAGCUGUAUUCAUUUACUUUAGUUUGCUCCUCAAUUCAUGCACCUUGGUUGGAGCGAGAGAGUUCUUCAUAUUGCAAUAAUACUGUACCAAAAGUGACAUUUGGGUAGUGCAAUUUGCCAUGUUCUGAAUCAGGCUAAUUCUUGUCACUGAGUUUUAAUCAAGUAGGCCUAAUUUUAGUAGAGCAAUGCAUUUGUUUUUAUUUUGGUCUUUCCUCAUACAGAUUUGUAGCUUGGGCCCCAUCUUUCAAAUCCUAAAUGACCCAUGUCAGCAGUUCUGGUAGGUCUGUAAUUGUCUAGGUUGAGGGGAAUUUCUGAUUAAUCCAGAACAAGGUCUGUGAAACCACUGAAAGUAACAUGAAUUUGAGUUGUUUUCAGAGUGUGUAAAUUGUAAGUUUACUGCAAUAAAAUGUCAAACUUUA